rnacentral:lncRNA from 1 species
GGGGCUAUGUGGCUAAUUUUCUCGAAUCUUUUGACCUUAUCCUAUUGUUUUGCAACACAAAAGAGUUGAUGGAUUGUUGCUUUAGAUAUUAUUGCAUCCCAUAUGUCUUGAUCUAAAUGUUGUCAAGGAAAGUUGAAAUGUUUAUUAUUGAUGUUUUCAUUGUGAUUUUGAUUUAUGAGGUUUGAUAUAUGGUACGAACCAAUGCACAACAACCCAUGGUUUUA